GCAGUCGACGACUCUGGUAUUGAUUGGUGCUUGCAUCAUGAUUUACAUUUGAGUGAGUGGCGAACUGGUGAGUAACACGUGGGAAACCUGCCCAGAAGCGGGGGAUAACACCUGGAAACAGAUGCUAAUACCGCAUAACAACUUGGACCGCAUGGUCCGAGUUUGAAAGAUGGCUUCGGCUAUCACUUUUGGAUGGUCCCGCGGCGUAUUAGCUAGAUGGUGGGGUAACGGCUCACCAUGGCAAUGAUACGUAGCCGACCUGAGAGGGUAAUCGGCCACAUUGGGACUGAGACACGGCCCAAACUCCUACGGGAGGCAGCAGUAGGGAAUCUUCCACAAUGGACGAAAGUCUGAUGGAGCAACGCCGCGUGAGUGAAGAAGGGUUUCGGCUCGUAAAACUCUGUUGUUAAAGAAGAACAUAUCUGAGAGUAACUGUUCAGGUAUUGACGGUAUUUAACCAGAAAGCCACGGCUAACUACGUGCCAGCAGCCGCGGUAAUACGUAGGUGGCAAGCGUUGUCCGGAUUUAUUGGGCGUAAAGCGAGCGCAGGCGGUUUUUUAAGUCUGAUGUGAAAGCCUUCGGCUCAACCGAAGAAGUGCAUCGGACACUGGGAAACUUGAGUGCAGAAGAGGACAGUGGAACUCCAUGUGUAGCGGUGAAAUGCGUAGAUAUAUGGAAGAACACCAGUGGCGAAAGCGGCUGUCUGGUCUGUAACUGACGCUGAGGCUCGAAAGUAUGGGUAGCAACAGGAUUAGAUACCCUGGUAGUCCAUACCGUAACGAUGAUGCUAGUGUUGAGGUUUCGCC
rnacentral:rRNA from 2 species